GACGAUAAUGCUAAUGCAUGUUGCACAGUUUGCCAAAGCAAAAAUACUGUUGAGCCAGUUGAUCGACAACGUGCCAAAUGAAGCUUGGAUUCUCGAUGCUGGAUUAACUGUCAGCCUUAGCCUUGCUGCCUUAUGUUUCACCGGGAUUACCCUGGCAGCCAUGAUCAUGGUUCAGCUCCACAGCCGGCAGCCUGCCAUGACAGAUGUUGAGGGUGAACCCCCAAGAUACUCACAGAUGUGCCCAAUGAGCAGCAAGUCAGCGGAGAGCUGGACAUACAGGAUUCUCCCAAAUCACCACACAGCUAAUGACACAAAAUAAAGAAAUACACAUGACUAAGAAUUAGGUCAAAAUGUCUGUGAUGCAUCUGAAAAAUGUCUGCCUCUCUCUGUCAUGCACUCUCUCUCACACACACUCUCUCACAACAAACACACACACAUAAGGGCACAUAUUAAAGAAAUGCACAUGACUAAGAAUUAAGUCAAAAUGUCUGUGAUGUAUCUGAAAAAUCUCUGCCUCUCUCUCUGUCAUGCACUCACUCUCUCUCACACAACAAACACACACACACACACACACACAUAAUGGCACAUAUUAAAGAAAUACAUAUGAAUAAGAAUAUGCCUGUGUGUGAUUUAUUUGAACAAGUCUCCAUCUCUCU
rnacentral:lncRNA from 1 species